AUAAUCAAUGCUAUGGUAGUAUUGAGGAAAGAAGUCGUUUACGUCAUAACACAUUUUAUCAAGUUAUUACAACCCAGAAUCAUUACUUCUUUGUUGGAUUGAAAGCAUAAGACAGAGAUACACAAUACUUACUCUGCUUCGUGAACUUCAUGGGUGACGUAUUCGAAUUCUUUCUUGAAUGCUAGACUAUAUACUACAACGAAUAUUAUGCCGAAGAAAAAAGGAGAUAGUAGUUAGUUCUAUCUUCGGUUAUUCCACAGAGUAAAGUGCGUGCUUUGUAAUGCGUACUUUUUUCUUUGAAUGUGGAAUGUCAGCUGUUGAAUUUAGAGGGAAAAUGUUCAUCAUGAUCACAACUAUUUUCAUAAGGAUGUGAACUCAAGAAUUUCAAUUGAGCCUCCCAAUCCGGUUGCAAAUCCUACAUCACAUGAUAUUGAUGUACAGUCAAAAAGUGUGGCCCUUGAUCAUGAUUAUGAUGGUAAUGGGUUAGGAAAUAAGUCGCCACAAGAUUUGUCGUUGGAAGCAACACCAGGUACUGAGACAAUUCAAGCUCACCCAGAAUCUGACUCGCUAGAGGUGCUUCAUGAAUUCUCAUUUAUAGAUAAAGAAGAGUAUGAUGAUGUUUUGUUGCAUGAAAUGGAGGUCGAGAUUCAUCCUAAACCUUCUAUAAUAACAGGACAUAGAAUUGUUGAUUUGCAACACGUUUUAAAUUAGGCAUUGCAUUUACAAGUUGACCAUUCAAAGAAAUGUACCGGAGGUCAAUUGGAACCGAUACUAGAAGAGAGAAACGGCUUGGUUAGCACAAUAACCUUUAAAUGCAAUUAUUGCGGUUUUGAAAUAAAGCGGUGCACACAUCCUGGAAGAAAUUACGCAGUUCAAAACAUUAAUACGGCAGCUGUGUGGUCAACCAUUUCUGCUGGAAAUACUUUCAGUAACUUGCAGGAACGUCUAGCAAUUAUGAAUAUUCCUCCAUUGACCUAUAGUAUGUUCCAAAAAAUUGAAUGCUUUUUAAGCAAAGAGUGGGAAGAUCGUCUGUGGAUUUCUAUUGAAAAAGCAGGCAUAGAGGAGUAUGAUAUAGCUAUUUCAAAAGGACAAGUGGACGAAAAUGGUUUGGCAUGGGUUGUCGUGUACACAGAUUGCGGCUGGAGUCAACGGUCUUAUGGGCAUAGUUACAAUGCUUCGUCAGGAGUCGCUGUAAUAAUUGGGAAAGCAACUGGUAAAAUUUUAUUCUUGGGCGUGAGAAAUAAAUAUUGCUCAGUAUGUGCAAGAGCUAAGAAGGAAGAUGAAAUUAAAGAACACAUCUGUUACAAAAACUGGACGGCAUCAUCGGGGGCGAUGGAAUCUGAUAUUAUUGUCGAAGGGUUCAAUCACAGCAUUUCUAUGCACAAAAUUAAAUAUUUAAAGUUUAUAGCAGAUGGUGAUUCGUCCGUUUUUGCUAAAAUAAAACAAAAAGUUACGUAUGGCAAUGAAGUAGAAAAAAUACAUUGCAGUAAUCAUGCUGUGAAAAAUUACGGGAAGGCUUUGUAUAAAAUAAAAAACGAUACUGCCAUAGCAUUGCAAGCUAGAAAGUUCUUAACAGUGAAAAACAUCAAGGCUCUUCAAGAAAUUGCCAUGAAGGUUUUAUAUGAAAAUGCUCAUGGUCUCGUCGAAGAUUUAAAAACAGACCUUAUGAAUGGACCAAAACAUGUAUAUGGGGAUCACUCCUCUUGCAAGGAAAGCUACUGCGAAACUCGAGGAUGUGUGGAAAACAGUAAAGUCGUU